UGGGGGGGGGUCACAUCUCCAUGGAAAUAAUGUAAUCAAAGGAUCUCACCCACAAUAGAUCUGCCCCCACAAGGUUGCAUUAAAGAAUGUGGCUUUUGUGGGGGACAUGAUAGAUUCCAACUAGCACACUGCCUUUUCUCCCACACGGUGGGGCAAGCAAACUUCGCUGACAGCUCACCAAGUGCCCGGCUCGCGAUGACGCAGUUCCCGUCUGCUGAGGCUCAGCUGAGGAAUGGCAAACUUGGGGGUCUCUGCCCAGCCCACAGCCCCUUCUUGAGAAGACCCCCCCACCUUGAGUGGGGUGACCCAGAGGGGGUGGUCAGACCAGGGACAGUGGAGUGAGGACCCAGCCUCUGCAGUGUUGGAGAUUGGCGGUGGCACUGCAUCCACCAGAGCCGGGAGUCAGAGGGGAGUAGGGACAGACAGCUCAGGAGAGCUGGGGACUGUCCACCUGGCUGGGGACCGUCCACCCAGAAGCUUUCUGCACUACUCCACAGGAACCUGCUUGAGAGCCCCCUCCCGGAGCCAGCUGGUGAGCCUCUGAGCCCAGAACCAGGAGUGGCAACAUCUCUCAGUUCAGCCAGCCACCGUGCCGUCCCACCACAAGAUCCUGAAAUCGUGGUGCCAAAUCCACUGGCACCUUCUCAGAGGCCCUGGGGUCAUUUCCACAAAAGGGUCUCCUUCCUGCCCUGCUGGGGAUGCCGUACCCCAUGGUCAGCACGGAUGCCUCAGAGAUGCCGGUUUAUCUGGAGAUGGCACCACAGCCCGUGCCCCGGGGCUCCUUAUGCUUCAACGUCUAGAGCCAUCACCCUGGGUUUCCUUCCGUUCUUUUCCCAAUCGAGAAAACUCUGCUGCCUCGAGGUUGUCUCCGUUUGCUUGGGCUACUACAACAAAUGUCACACACCGGUGGCUUAAACAACAGGAAUUUAUCGUCUCAUGGAUUUGGAGGCUGGAAAUCCAACACCAAGUUCUCUGGGAUAUACACCUGAAGUGGGGUUGCUGGCUCAGAUGGUAAUUCUAUUUUUAACCGAGGAACGCCAUAUUGCUUCCCACGCACGUGGUGAAGGGUCUGUGUGCCCUGGAAAAGAAGGUGAAUUUUAAAGCACACGUGAAGAAUGCUGGCGGAAUCUGGUUCAACCACUUUGGAAAACUCUCUGCCAUCUUUUUGUAACGCUCUACAUGUACCUACCACCCGGCGUAGCCCUUUCAGGCCUAAAUUGAUAUCCAAGUGAAAUGAAAACACGUGUCCACACAAAGACUUGUUGAUCAGUGUUCAUUGCAGCUUUGUUUGUAAAGGCCCCAAACGACCACCGGUGAACGGAUAAACAAAACGGGGUACGUCCAUACGGUGGGGCGGUACUCAUCAAAGAAAGCAGCUACGGAUCCAGCAACAGCUGAGUGAAAGAAGCCAGACACAGAAGAGAAUACACCGUAUGAGUCCACUUAAAUGGAAUUCUAGGGAAAUGCAAACUGAUCAAUACUGACAGGCAGCGAUCAGCGUUGGCCUGGGACAUAGAGGGGAGCAAGAGAAGACUUCGGAGUGGCACUAGGAAACUUGGGCAGGGGGUGAAAAAUAUCUUUACAUUGAUUGUUGCCUUGGUCAUCUGAGCAUGUAUAUCUGUCAAAACUUACCAAACUGUUCCCUUUAAAUGGGUGCAGUUUAUUACAUGUAAAAUAUACCUCAAAAUUUUAUUUUUGGAAGCAACCCAAGUGUCCAUCAGCUCAAGUGCUUAUCCAUGAAUGGAUAAACAAAAAGUGGUCUAGCCAUACAAUGGAAUAUGAUUUAGCCAUGCGACAAAAUGUAUGAACCUCGGAGACAUCGUGUUGACUGAAAGAAGCCAGCCAGAAAAGGGCAGAUGUUGUGUGAUUUCUGUUACACAAAUUACUUUAAUUAGCAAAUUCAUAAAGACAGAAAGCAGAAUAGUGGUUAUCAGGGC